rnacentral:rRNA from 1 species
CAGUCGCCGCGGGAAUACGGAGGGGGCUAGCGUUGUUCGAAUUACUGGGCGUAAAGCGCACGUAGGCGGCUUGGUAAGUUAGAGGUGAAAGCCUGGAGCUCAACUCCAGAAUUGCCUUUAAGACUGCCGAGCUAGCAGGUGAGAGAGGUAAGUGGAAUUCCGAGUGUAGAGGUGAAAUUCGUAGAUAUUCGGAAGAACACCAGUGGCGAAGGCGGCUUACUGGCUCAUACUGGACGCUGAGGUGCGAAAGCGUGGGGAGCAAACAGGAUUAGAUACCCCCGUAGUCCCUGUCUCUUAUACA